UUCCUCAGUCUAGAAACAACCGCGCAGUAGAGCGGACGGAUGAGAGUCGCGCUCCGCAAAUUUCGAGUACCGGGUUCUCAACCUCCCGGAUCCUGCGCUUCGGAUCCGCUACGUGGUGAAACUCGAGUUCCAGGACAAGUGCUCCGUAGUUUCUGCGCUCCGGGUCCACUACCUAGUGAAACUGGACUUCCAGAACAGGCACUCCGUAGUUUCUGCUCUCAAGGACAAGCGCUCCAUGGUUUCUGAGCUCAAGGUCGCUGGUGAAACUUGACUUCCAGGACAAGCGCACCGUGGUUCCUGCGCUCAAGGUCGCUACCUGGGAAUACUCGACUUCCAGGACAAGCGCUCUCUAGUUUCUGCGCUCCAGGUCCACUACCAGUGGGAACUUGACUUCCAGGACACGCGCUCCGUGGUUCCUGUUUCAUGUUUACGGUGGUCGAAGGUGGUAGGGGUGGUUGCGGGUGAUCGAGGUUGACGAGGAGGGGGACAAGGAGGAGGAGGAUAAGGAAGACUUGGAAACCAAGGUGGACGACGAGGAUGAGGAUUUAUGCACGAUCCGCUACCUGGUGAAACUCAACUGCAGAGACAAGCGCUCCGCGGUUCUUGCGCUCAAUGUCCACUACCUGGAGAAGCUUGACUUCCGGGACAAGCGCUCCGGGGUUCCUGUUUCAUGUUUACGGUAUAACCCGAGGUAGUUAUCGGUAGGUGUUGGAGGUGGUUGGCGGUGGUCAGAGGU